AUGCAUGGGGCUGUGUGCGCAUGCACGGUGCAGGUGCUGUGUGCAACACACCGUGCAUGCAUGUCGCAGUUGCUGCGUGCAUGGAGCUCCGUGUGCAUGCACGGUGUGUGUGCUGCAUGCAUGGGGCUCUGUGUGCAUGCACGGUGUGGGUGCUGCGUGCAGUGCAGGUGCAGGGAGCGGUGCAGCUGUGCAUGCACGGUGUGGGUGCUGCGUUCAUAGGGCUCCAUGUGCAUGUACGGCGUGGGUGCUGCGUGCAGUGCAGUUGCAGUGAGCAGUGCAGGUGUGCAUGCAUGGCGUGGGUGCUGCAUGCAUGGGGCUUUGUGUGCAUGCAUGCUGUGGGUGGUGCAUUACAGUGCAGGUGCAGUGAGCGGUGCAGGUGUGCAUGCACGGUGUGGAUGCUGCAUGCAGUGCAGGUGCAGUGAGCGGUGCAGGUGUGCAUGCAUGGCCUGUGUGCUGCAUGCAUGGGGCUUUGUGUGCAUGCAUGGUGUGGGUGCUGCGUGCAGUGCAGGUGCAGUGAGCGGUGCAGGUGUGCAUGCACGGUGUGGGUGC
ensembl:lncRNA